CCUACGGGUGGCAGCAGUGAGGAAUAUUGGUCAAUGGACGAGAGUCUGAACCAGCCAAGUAGCGUGAAGGAUGACUGCCCUAUGGGUUGUAAACUUCUUUUAUCAAGGAAUAAAACGAGGCACGUGUGCCUUUUUGCAUGUACUUUAUGAAUAAGGAUCGGCUAACUCCGUGCCAGCAGCCGCGGUAAUACGGAGGAUCCGAGCGUUAUCCGGAUUGAUUGGGUUUAAAGGGAGCGUAGAUGGGUUGUUAAGUCAGUUGUGAAAGUUUGAGGCUCAACCGUAAAAUUGCAAUUGAUACUGGCAGCCUUGAGUACAGUUGAGGUAGGCGGAAUUCGUGGUGUAGCGGUGAAAUGCUUAGAUAUCACGAAGAACUCCGAUUGCGAAGGCAGCUUACUAAACUGCCACUGACAUUGAUGCUCGAAAGUGUGGGUAUCAAACAGGAUUAGAUACCCGAGUAGUC
rnacentral:rRNA from 1 species